UUUUUUAGGGAAAGGGGAAAAAAAAAACAGAAAGAAAAGAAGAAACAUUAGAAUAAAUCACAUAAAAUUUGACACAAAAACUCCGAAACAUUAGAAAAGAAGUUUGUAACCCUAAACUCCAAAUUCCAAUCACUACCUAUUACAGAUUUCAUUCCAGUUUUUUUUAUUUUUUUUUAUUUUCUAUCUAAAAACUUCGAUUUCGAAUUCUGUAUUUCUAGCAUCAACUCAAUUACUUCUCGAGGAAAGAAAUUGAAGGAUCUUGACGAUUCCGAGAAAGGUGAAGGUUAUGGCUACAUCGACUGAAGUAGUUAAGAAGUUUUUUAUUGCUUCGGUAUUCAUGUGGGUAUUCCCCAUUGCUAUCAUAUAUGGCUUUCAGCAUAAUGUAUUUCCUGGUUUAGCAAACCUUUCUCCUUAUUAUCACACGCUGUUGGGCGGAUUUCUGGCCGUUAUAUCAAUUAACGUGGUAAUCGCCCUUUACAUAUGCAUGGCAAUGAAAGAGCCUUCGGUCAAGCACGAACCAGAUCCAACAUUUGUUGCGAAGGCUAAAGCCAGUAUAAACAACCAAGCCGAAGCUGGAACCAAUGAAAAAGAAGACUAGGACUUAAAUGAGGUCGCUACCAUUUUCAGGACUCACCCAUUGCCAACAGAUGAAGUUGGAGAAAAGAUGGGCGUAAAAUGGCUGGUUCUACAGGGUGUUCAUGCUAUUAAUGAGGUAAACAUGCUGAUCACAAUUUCAAUGCGACAAGACAUACUCUGAUGGAACUAGGUUUUUGUUGAUCAAUGGUUUGAUCAAGAUGCGCACAAAAAAUGAUAGGUUUUCAUAUUAUGGGGAUUUUGAAAUGUGAUUUUGCUUUUCCAAGAGGUUGUAUUAUUGUGGGAAAAAACUUUGUCCACCACUUUGGAAUCCAAUUCAGCAAUACAAAUCAUCUCUUUAAUUUUA